AACGAACGCUGGCGGCAUGCCUAACACAUGCAAGUCGAACGAGACCUUCGGGUCUAGUGGCGCACGGGUGCGUAACGCGUGGGAAUCUGCCCUUGGGUUCGGAAUAACAGUUGGAAACGACUGCUAAUACCGGAUGAUGACUUAAGUCCAAAGAUUUAUCGCCCAAGGAUGAGCCCGCGUAGGAUUAGCUAGUUGGUGAGGUAAAGGCUCACCAAGGCGACGAUCCUUAGCUGGUCUGAGAGGAUGAUCAGCCACACUGGGACUGAGACACGGCCCAGACUCCUACGGGAGGCAGCAGUGGGGAAUAUUGGACAAUGGGCGAAAGCCUGAUCCAGCAAUGCCGCGUGAGUGAUGAAGGCCUUAGGGUUGUAAAGCUCUUUUACCCGGGAUGAUAAUGACAGUACCGGGAGAAUAAGCUCCGGCUAACUCCGUG
rnacentral:rRNA from 1 species